AGUGGCGACCGGGUGAGUAACACGUGACCAACCUGCCCUCGAGUGGGGAACAACUCCGGGAAACCGGGGCUAAUACCGCAUAACAUCCUUGGAACGCCGGUUCUGGGGAUCAAAGGAGCAAUUCGCUUGAGGAGGGGGUCGCGGCUGAUUAGCUAGUUGGCGGGGUAACGGCCCACCAAGGCUUAGAUCGGUAUCCGGCCUGAGAGGGCGCACGGACACACUGGAACUGAAACACGGUCCAGACUCCUACGGGAGGCAGCAGUGGGGAAUCUUGCGCAAUGGGCGAAAGCCUGACGCAGCGACGCCGCGUGGGGGAUGAAGCUUCUCGGAGUGUAAACCCCUUUCGACCGGGACGAAUGCCCGCAAGGGAGUGACGGUACCGGUAGAAGAAGCCCCGGCUAACUGCGUGCCAGCAGCCGCGGUAAGACGUAGGGGGCCAGCGUUGUUCGGAAUUACUGGGUGUAAAGGGUUCGUAGGCGGUGUGGCAAGUCGGGAGUGAAAUUUCUGGGCUUAACUCAGAACCUGCUUCCGAAACUGCUGUGCUGGAGUGUGGGAGAGGCGCGUGGAAUUGCAGGUGUAGCGGUGAAAUGCGUAGAUAUCUGCAGGAACACCCGUGGCGAAAGCGGCGCGCUGGACCACUACUGACGCUGAGGAACGAGAGCUAGGGGAGCAAACAGGAUUAGAUACCCUGGUAGUCCUAGCCCUAAACGAUCAGGACUUGGGGUGCCUUCCGUUCGGAAGUCGUCCCGGAGCUAACGCGUUAAGUCCUGCACCUGGGGAGUACGGUCGCAAGACUGAAACUCAAAGGAAUUGACGGGGGCCCGCACAAGCGGUGGAACAUGUGGUUCAAUUCGA
rnacentral:rRNA from 1 species